rnacentral:rRNA from 1 species
UCUGUAGGCGGAUCUGUAAGUCAGUGGUGAAAUCUCAUAGCUUAACUAUGAAACUGCCAUUGAUACUGCAGGUCUUGAGUAAGGUAGAAGUAGCUGGAAUAAGUAGUGUAGCGGUGAAAUGCAUAGAUAUUACUUAGAACACCAAUUGCGAAGGCAGGUUACUAUGUCUUAACUGACGCUGAUGGACGAAAGCGUGGGGAGCGAACAGGAUUAGAUACCCUGGUAGUCC